UUGUCCUCUGACCUCCACACCUGCACUAUGGCAUGCACCACCCCCAUCCACAGCAAAAUAAACAAAUUCGUAUGUUCAAUCCUAUGACAGCUUUGGUAGCUACAGACUUUGGGUGACGGAAGACAGAGUUUAGCCCUGUGCCGUUAGCACCCCGUAUCCUUUAGUUAAGGUGAAAGGAGAGCAAGAGUCUCCAGAGGAUGCCCCAGGUCAUGUCUCUACCAAGAGAAAGCAACUCUGGAGACAUUUUCAAGGGACUCGACGUUACUGUCCUAGGUGCACAUCAAUCUCCAUAGCAGUCAUAAGUGUCUUCUUGAAGGCUACGUUAGAGGAACGCUGAGUCCAAGGCUUCAGCUCACACGUGCAUGCAAAGGACACUGGAAGGAACCCUGAGUUACUCCUUGAUUAGUGCUUCGUGUGGUAGAAGGAAAAGAGGCAGGCACUCCAUCCAACACAUUUGCUUUUGUUGACUGAGCUUCCUUCUCUGCUGAGGCCUGAUUUCAUCUCCUCAGACUGGGCUCUGCCUCUGCAAAUGUAACAAGAAUCCAUCUUGCUCCCCAAGCGAUAAGAGUUCAAAAUUACAUAAUGUUUUUCUUUCGAGAUGGCUUCUAGACGCUACCUCACUAAACUAACACCUUCAAGAGACCAGCAAACACAAGAGUGGAAUGCUGAGCCCGCCCACCUGCCUAUGGGUGUGCUGCUGUGAACGAAGGCUGGACUGGAAGCAGGCAGCCUCUCCGCCCCAUGAGUGUUUAUUUGACUUUCGUGUGUGUCUUAAGGCUUCUAAAGAUCGUCCUCUCAGCUGAUGACUUACACAAAAUCUUCUAGUUCUUUAGGCCUAUGAAGUGCUGAGGAAUCCAGACCACUAGAAUCUUCACUGAUUGCCCUUUUGGUGUUUGGAAUUCUCCCCAAACAAAAGAAGUGCCAACAGUUCAUCCCAACGCUACAGUCUGGGUCCUGGCUUCUGCUAGCAUCUUUGCUACAGGUUGAGAAACAGACACCAGCAAACAAGGAAGGAGACCACCUCAGGCAUGCGCUGCCCAGGCAGGAUCUCAGAAAUGUCUUUGCAAGGCUGAUCGACGGCUGCGCUUGUCAUGGGUUCCAUCAGUCACUGCGUUCGUCAUGGGUUCUAGCCAGGUAACUGCAUAAAAGCGACUUGAUACGGCUAAGGCAACUGCCCCAGGUAAGCAAUAAAACUGAACAAAGUUGAACGAGAAUGAGAAAAACCAAGUAGAAUGAUGAGAUGAUUGCUACAUUAGGGUAGCUGCGAUGGGCAGACACAGUAACUGGACCUGAUGUCUCCAAGAGUUUUAGGUGGUUACCCUGGAUAGCCACAACAGGCUGGACUCACUCCCCUCUUUUGGGAGGAAGACCUACAAGUUCUGGAUACCGGGUCUAAGUGGCAAGAGGAAGGUUUGAACAUGUCUUGCUUC
rnacentral:sRNA from 1 species